rnacentral:rRNA from 1 species
UACGGAGGGGGCUAGCGUUGUUCGGAAUUACUGGGCGUAAAGCGCACGUAGGCGGCUUUGUAAGUUAGAGGUGAAAGCCCGGGGCUCAACUCCGGAAUUGCCUUUAAGACUGCAUCGCUAGAAUUGUGGAGAGGUAAGUGGAAUUCCGAGUGUAGAGGUGAAAUUCGUAGAUAUUCGCAAGAACACCAGUGGCGAAGGCGGCUCACUGGCCCGAUACUGACGCUGAGGCACGAAAAGCGUGGGGAGCAAACAGG